rnacentral:rRNA from 1 species
UACGUAGGGGGCGAGCGUUGUCCGGAUUUAUUGGGCGUAAAGAGCGUGUAGGCGGCCAGGUAGGUCUGCUGUGAAAACUCGAGGCUCAACCUCGAGACGUCGGCGGAAACCAUCUGGCUAGAGUCCGGAAGAAGAGAGUGGAAUUCCUGGUGUAGCGGUGAAAUGCGCAGAUAUCAGGAAGAACACCCGUGGCGAAGGCGGCUCUCUGGGACGGUACUGACGCUGAGACGCGAAAGCGUGGGGAGCGAACAGG